AACACACACACACCGACUGCGAUCGACGGAGACGACUUCUGUCUGACAACAUCCCGGAAGUGACGUCACCGCGACCCGAGCGCGUCACACCUACCAAAGGAAUUCGUUCUUGCAGUGUUAGUGCAAACCAGUGGGAAAGCAGCAAAUGACCGACAGCCCACACACUUUGGAGCACGUCAGGACACCCACUUUCCCCUUGAUUGUCACAGAAGAGCAUGGAGAGCCACGGGAAGCAACAACCAGUUGAAGGCGGAUCAGGACACUUCACCAGGCACCCUUCACGUUUCAAUAAAUCCACCCUCCGUUGGCAUUUAAU